rnacentral:tRNA from 1 species
GUCUUUCUAGUAUAUUUAAGUACUGUUGACUUCCAAUCAGCCAGACUGAACUUCUCAGGAAUGAUA